rnacentral:tRNA from 1 species
GAGGUGGAGCAGUGGUAGCUCGCCAGCCUCAUAAGCUGGAGGACGCAGGUUCGAAUCCUGCCCA